CAGUCGCCGCGGUAAUACGGAGGGUGCAAGCGUUAAUCGGAAUUACUGGGCGUAAAGCGUGCGUAGGCGGUUCGUUAAGUCUGUUGUGAAAGCCCCGGGCUCAACCUGGGAAUGGCAAUGGAUACUGGCGAGCUAGAGUGUGUCAGAGGAUGGUGGAAUUCCCGGUGUAGCGGUGAAAUGCGUAGAGAUCGGGAGGAACAUCGGUGGCGAAGGCGGCCAUCUGGGACAACACUGACGCUGAGGCACGAAAGCGUGGGGAGCAAACAGGAUUAGAUACCCGAGUAGUCCCUGUCUCUUAUAC
rnacentral:rRNA from 1 species